GAUCAUUUCCGCACAAGGAGGAAACCGAGUUGGUCGGGUCGCAGUUGCUUGUUGUUGUUUCUCACUUGUCGUUUAACAUGGUUUGACGAAGCAAGUUGUUUUCGGGAACAAGCUGCUAAUAUCAUGGGGAAGAAAGAUAGGGGAGAUCGGGAGAGGAAGUCUUCUAAGAAGCGUGUGUAUGACGAAGAGGAGUAUGAGGAGGAGGCGAUGGGCAGUGAGUCCCAGGAGACCAUCCCUGCAGCGGCCGGUAAAACGGUGGAUGAGUCGGCCAUCAAGCUGGACGAGUACGGGGCUAAAGACUACCGGCUGCAGAUGUUGCUGAAGAACGACCACGGAUCACGACCUCUCUGGGUGGCUCCAGAUGGACACAUCUUCCUGGAAGCCUUCUCUCCGGUAUAUAAGUAUGCCCAGGACUUCCUGGUAGCUCAUAGCAGAGGCAGUGUGUCGUCCGGUCCAUCGUUCAUGAGUACAAGCGGACUAGCCUACUCCCUCUACGCUGCUCGUGAGCGUCGGGUCCUACAGACCGCAGACAUCGUGGAGUAAGAUAUCUCCAGAAACUCAGCAAGACAUCUUUACCGGACGGCAAUCGUGCAGUUUCAUCAAGCUCUGCACUGUGAGCUACGGCAAGGUGAAGCUGGUGCUGAAACACAACCGGUACUUUGUGGAGAGUGCGUUCCCAGAGGUGAUCCAGCGUCUUCUUCAGGACAGUGUGAUCAGAGAUUGUCGUCUCCGAACCGCAGAGGGAACAGACACCGAGCUCAUCACUGAGGUCGUACACAGCAAGUCAGCGAUCUCUAAGUCCCUCCAGGACAACGGAGCAGGGGCCUCCACGUCAGCAGGGGCCCCUGAGGGCCAGACGCCAGGAGCCACCCAGGUACCAGAGGACAUAUUCAGCUACUAUGAACAGAUGGACAAGGAGGAAGAGGAGGAGGAGGAGACGCAGACCGUGUCCUUCGAGAUCCGACAGGAGAUGAUUGAAGAGCUUCAGAAGAGGUGUAUUAAUAUGGAAUAUCCUCUACUGGCGGAGUACGACUUCCGCAACGACACGGUGAACCCUGACAUCAACAUGGACCUGAAGGCCACCGCUGUACUCAGGCCUUACCAGGAGAAGAGCCUCCGCAAGAUGUUUGGUAACGGCCGAGCCCGCUCGGGAGUCAUCGUACUACCUUGUGGUGCGGGGAAGUCUCUAGUAGGGGUAACGGCAGCCUGUACGGUCCGUAAGCGCUGCCUGGUCCUGGGGAACAGCUCUGUGUCAGUAGAACAGUGGAAGGCUCAGUUUAAGAUGUGGUCCACCAUCGAUGACUCUCAGAUCUGCCGCUUCACCUCAGAUGCCAAGGACAAGCCGAUUGGCUGCUCGGUGGCCAUCAGUACUUACAGCAUGUUGGGACACACCACCAAGAGGUCUUGGGAGGCAGAGAGAGUGAUGGAAUGGAUGAGGUCCCAGGAGUGGGGUCUCAUCAUCCUGGACGAGGUGCACACCAUCCCUGCUAAGAUGUUCCGUCGCGUUCUGACCAUUGUCCAGGCCCACUGUAAGCUGGGUCUGACCGCUACGCUGGUCCGAGAGGACGACAAGAUCGUUGAUCUCAACUUCCUGAUUGGGCCCAAGCUGUUCGAGGCUAACUGGAUGGAGCUCCAGAACAACGGAUACAUCGCUAAGGUCCAGUGUGCUGAGGUGUGGUGUCCGAUGUCUCCGGAGUUUUACCGGGAAUACGUGGCCAUCAAGACGAAGAGACGUAUUCUCCUCUACACCAUGAACCCCAACAAGUUCAGAGCCUGUCAGUUCCUCAUCAAGUUCCACGAGAGACGCAACGACAAGAUCAUGGUGUUCGCCGACAACGUCUUCGCUCUGAAGGAGUACGCUAUCCGCCUCAACAAGCCCUACAUCUAUGGCCCCACCUCUCAGGGAGAGAGGAUGCAGAUCCUACAGAAUUUUAAACACAACCCCAAGAUCAACACCAUCUUCAUCUCCAAGGUGGGUGACACGUCCUUUGACCUCCCCGAGGCUAAUGUUCUGAUCCAGAUCUCCUCUCAUGGGGGUUCUCGCAGACAGGAGGCUCAGAGGCUGGGCAGGGUGCUGCGAGCCAAGAAAGGUAUGGUCGCUGAGGAGUAUAAUGCCUACUUCUACUCGUUGGUGUCUCAGGAUACUCAGGAGAUGGCCUACAGCACCAAGAGACAGAGGUUCCUAGUGGACCAGGGAUACAGCUUCAAGGUCAUCACUAAAAUGGCGGGGAUGGAGGAGGAUAAUCUGAUGUUCUCCUCCAGAGAGGAGCAGUAUCAGCUGCUCCAGAAGGUUCUGGCUGCUACAGACCUCGACGCAGAGGAGGAAGUGGUCAUCGGAGAGAAUGGACGGCCAAUGUUCCAGCGGAGACCUGGUACCAUGAGCUCCAUGUCCGGGGCUGAUGAUUCUGUCUACAUGGAGUAUCGCUCUAGAGGCAGCCGGGCCCACCUGGGUAACAACAUCCACCCGCUCUUCAAGCGCUUCAGGAAGGGCCCGUAGGUCUCUGCUCUAAUCUGCUGCACUAUAUAGGGAAUAAGGUGUUACUGUGGGAUACUGCCGGGGUGUUGUGGAAGGGAUUCCUAGACUCAGGUCAGACGAGAGGUAACCGCUAUAGACCCUGGUAGGACGAACAUGUUCCCUGUGUGUUUCAGAGAGAACCCAGUUCUGCAUCACCACCAUAACCUCAGUUCUAGGGGUUUUUAGUUCUUCAGAGAGGGAUACUAAAUGUGGUCUUUUAUCUGUCUCAUAUUUCAUUCAUGUGUUUUUGUUUUUUGUCUUGACAUGAAAUGCUUUUCAAAUAAAACAGGAAUGUU